rnacentral:rRNA from 1 species
CGUGCAGGCGGUUUGGUAAGUCAGAUGUGAAAGCCCAGGGCUCAACCCUGGAAGUGCAUUUGAUACUGCCAGACUUGAGUAUGGGAGAGGAGAGUGGAAUUCCCAGUGUAGAGGUGAAAUUCGUAGAUAUUGGGAGGAACACCCGUGGCGAAGGCGACUCUCUGGACCAAUACUGACGCUGAGACGCGAAAGCGUGGGGAGCAAACAGGAUUAGAUACCCUGGUAGUCC